rnacentral:rRNA from 1 species
GACGAACGCUGGCGGCGUGCUAAUACAUGCAAGUAGAACGCUGAGGUUUGGUGUUUACACUAGACUGAUGAGUUGCGAACGGGUGAGUAACGCGUAGGUAACCUGCCUCAUAGCGGGGGAUAACUAUUGGAAACGAUAGCUAAUACCGCAUAAGAGUAAUUAACACAUGUUAGUUAUUUAAAAGGAGCAAUUGCUUCACUGUGAGAUGGACCUGCGUUGUAUUAGCUAGUUGGUGAGGUAAAGGCUCACCAAGGCGACGAUACAUAGCCGACCUGAGAGGGUGAUCGGCCACACUGGGACUGAGACACGGCCCAGACUCCUACGGGAGGCAGCAGUAGGGAAUCUUCGGCAAUGGACGGAAGUCUGACCGAGCAACGCCGCGUGAGUGAAGAAGGUUUUCGGAUCGUAAAGCUCUGUUGUUAGAGAAGAACGUUGGUAGGAGUGGAAAAUCUACCAAGUGACGGUAACUAACCAGAAAGGGACGGCUAACUACGUGCCAGCAGCCGCGGUAAUACGUAGGUCCCGAGCGUUGUCCGGAUUUAUUGGGCGUAAAGCGAGCGCAGGCAGUUCUUUAAGUCUGAAGUUAAAGGCAGUGGCUUAACCAUUGUACGCUUUGGAAACUGGAGGACUUGAGUGCAGAAGGGGAGAGUGGAAUUCCAUGUGUAGCGGUGAAAUGCGUAGAUAUAUGGAGGAACACCGGUGGCGAAAGCGGCUCUCUGGUCUGUAACUGACGCUGAGGCUCGAAAGCGUGGGGAGCAAACAGG